GAUGAAGAACGUAGCGAAAUGCGAUAAGUAAUGUGAAUUGCAGAAUUCAGUGAAUCAUCGAAUCUUUGAACGCACAUUGCGCCCCCUGGUAUUCCGGGGGGCAUGCCUGUCCGAGCGUCAUUACAACCCUCAAGCUCAGCUUGGUAUUGGGCCCCGCCGACCCGGCGGGCCCUAAAGUCAGUGGCGGUGCCGUCCGGCUCCGAGCGUAGUAAUUCUUCUCGCUCUGGAGGUCCGGUCGUGUGCUCGCCAGCAACCCCCAAUUUUUUUCAGGUUGACCUCGGAUCAGGGAGGGAUACCCGCUGAACUUAAGCAUAUCAAUAAGCGGAGGA
rnacentral:misc_RNA from 1 species